rnacentral:rRNA from 1 species
UACGAAGGGUGCAAACGUUGCUCGGAAUUAUUGGGCGUAAAGCGCACGUAGGCGGCUUUGCAAGUCGGAUGUGAAAUCCCUCGGCUUAACCAAGGAAGUGCAUCCGAAACUGCAGAGCUUGAGUACUUAAGAGGAUCGCGGAAUUCCCGGUGUAGAGGUGAAAUUCGUAGAUAUCGGGAGGAACACCAGCGGCGAAGGCGGCGAUCUGGGAAGAUACUGACGCUGAGGUGCGAAAGCGUGGGGAGCAAACAGG